rnacentral:rRNA from 1 species
GCCUAAAGCGUCCGUAGCCGGCUCUGUAAGUUUUCGGUUAAAUCUGUACGCUUAACGUACAGGCCGCCGGGAAUACUGCAGAGCUAGGGAGUGGGAGAGGUAGACGGUACUCGGGAGGAAGUGGUAAAAUGCUUUGAUCUCUCGAUGACCACCUGUGGCGAAGGCGGUCUACCAGAACACGUCCGACGGUGAGGGAUGAAAGCUGGGGGAGCAAACCGGAUUAGAUACCCGGGUAGUCCCAGCUGUAAACUAUGCAAACUCAGUGAUGCAUUGGCUUGUGGCCAAUGCAGUGUUGCAGGGAAGCCGUUAAGUUUGCCGCCUGGGAAGUACGUACGCAAGUAUGAAACUUAAAGGAAUUGGCGGGGGAGCACCACAAGGGGUGAAGCCUGCGGUUCAAUUGGAGUCAACGCCAGAAAUCUUACCCGGAGAGACAGCAGAAUGAAGGUCAAGCUGAAGACUUUACCAGACAAGCUGAGAGGUGGUGCAUGGCCGCCGCCAGCUCGUGCCGUGAGAUGUCCUGUUAAGUCAGGUAACGAGCGAGAUCCCUGCCUCUAGUUGCCACCAUUACUCUCAGGAGUAGUGGGGCGAAUUAGCGGGACCGCCGCAGUUAAUGCGGAGGAAGGAAGGGGCCACGACAGGUCAGUAUGCCCCGAA